UGCGUAGGUGGCGCCGUAAGUCGGAUGUGAAAUUUCGGAGCUUAACUCCGAAACUGCAUUCGAUACUGCGGUGCUUGAGGACUGGAGAGGAGACUGGAAUUCAUGGUGUAGCAGUGAAAUGCGUAGAGAUCAUGAGGAAGACCAGUGGCGAAGGCGGGUCUCUGGACAGUUCCUGACACUGAGGCACGAAGGCCAGGGGAGCAAACG
rnacentral:rRNA from 1 species